rnacentral:rRNA from 1 species
CGUGUAGGCGGUUUGGCAAGUCAGAUGUGAAAGCCCUGGGCUCAACCCAAGAAGUGCAUUUGAAACUGCCAUCCUUGAGUAUGGGAGAGGAGAGUGGAAUUCCCGAUGUAGAGGUGAAAUUCGUAGAUAUUGGGAGGAACACCCGUGGCGAAGGCGACUCUCUGGACCAAUACUGACGCUGAGACGCGAAAGCGUGGGGAGCAAACA